CACGUAGGGUGCGAGCGUUGUCCGGAAUUAUUGGGCGUAAAGAGCUCGUAGGCGGUGUGUCGCGUCGGCCGUGAAAACCUGUGGCUUAACUAUGGGCUUGCGGUCGAUACGGGCAUCACUGGAGUUCGGCAGGGGAGACUGGAAUUCCUGGUGUAGCGGUGAAAUGCGCAGAUAUCAGGAGGAACACCGGUGGCGAAGGCGGGUCUCUGGGCCGAUACUGACGCUGAGGAGCGAAAGCGUGGGGAGCGGACAGG
rnacentral:rRNA from 1 species